rnacentral:rRNA from 1 species
AUGGCAACCAAGAGCCUUCUUCUCGCCGCCCUCCUGGUCCUCGCCGUCAGCCUGGCGCCGCACGGUGCGGAGGCGGCGGGCAAGCAGCCGCCAUUAGCAAUGAUCUCCGGCGUGGUGCCAUGCAGCGCCGGGAACUCCAUCAACGCAGCCGCGGUUCCGCCAUUCCCGAACGCUGCUGUGCAGAUGGUGUGCGGCCGUGAUGUGAUGGCCAGCGCGACGGCGGACCGCAGCGGAACGUACACAAUGAACAUGGGCCCGGCCACCUCGUCGUUGCUCGCCCCUCUACUCGGCAACCAGUGCAAGGUGGUGGUGCUCACCCCGUUGGCCGCAUGCAACGCGUCCCUAGCGAGCGUCACCGGAACGUUGACCGCACCCGUGCAGCUCCUGGGUAUUGACAGUGACAGUGGCAGCGGCAGCGGCGGCCUCGGGGGGCUUGGCGGCCUAAUUGGCCUCAUUGGCCAGAUCGUGGGCGGCCUCCUCGGCGGCAUCCUUAACAUCAUCCCAUUGCCCUUCUCUGUCGUCUAG